CCCAAAUCCCGUCUACGGCCUACCUCGCCAACGGCCAGUGCCUGCCAGAACCCUCGAUCGUCUCCUUCUGUGCGUCGGAGGUGGUGGUGCACAUAGGAGAGACGGCACACGAAAGGUGCUCAUGGAGGUCACGACCGAGGGCCGCACUUGGCCGGCAACAGACUAUGCGCACGGCGGGAGGUGGCCAAUUUUCACUGCUGGCUAACCUAUUCGGCUCACCCCAUGGAGGUGGACAGCCAUUGGGAGGUCACGGCCGUUGCGAGAGGUUGGGUGGAGGCACAGCGGGGCUUCAACGUUCUUGCCUCUGGACUGCCCGGACGAUCAUCCGUGGCUUUUAUGGUUCCGCUGCCUGGAGGCGUUCGUCACCGGGCGAGGUCGGCCUUGCUCCCAUUGCUGCUGUCCAUGGCGGCCGAGAUGGACAUGGCAAACUACGGCUAUGUCGCAUCCUUGCCGUGGUGAGAUGAGCCGAGGCAAGGAAGGUGGAGCGCACGGGAGCACUUGAAGGGAGGAGAUGAUGAAACAGCCGACCUGCUGGAUGCGUGGGGCCGGAGAACCAAAGUAGCAUCAAGAAUAGUAGAUCUUUCCCGUAGUUGGGCGACUAUUUUGUCACACGCAAGAGCUUCUGCGCUUGGCCGAACACCGGGGCUCCUCGACUGUGCGGAGGUGUUCAAGAAUCGAGACCCACGCAUACUAUGAUUUGAGCAUCGGUGUCCGGCAGACCGGCACCAUCAGUUUCCCUCAUCCAUGCCUUCAACGAGCCAUCCGUGUCCGACUCCCUCUUCCUUGCAAUCGGUGAGUUCAGCAUACAAUCUUCAGAUUAACAAGCUUCUAUGUACUGAUGUUCUAGACAAACAAUGACAAUGAUGACUUAUUGUUCUUAGUACUAACUAACGUUUCGCCGAACAAAAAUACCGUUGUUGCUUCUUGAAAGUUUUUUCUGGUUGUUUUCAGUCUUGGGUACAUGAGGAUCUCAUGUCACAAUCUGAAAAGUGUGUCAAUUAAUUUAUGCUAAUUCUUCACCCCCGCUGAGUAAGAUGUAGUCAUUGGUGGCGCGUAUUGGGUACAACUUUGGCGAGGGAUGCCCAAAAUGUACUUGUAGGACUCCUGUUAUGUUUUGAUUUAGCUUGCAUUGAUUGUUUUGCGCAGGUGUAGUCUAAUAUGUAGCUGUCAAGGUUUGUCCUGCUCUAGUUUUUGCUGUGAAAAUACAGAGAAGAAUACAUGGCUGGGCUGGUGGCCCCCCGUCAGAUUUCGGCCCUUGCCACAUACGGCAUAGUUCAGCAACUCGAUAUGCUUAGAUUAUCCCAUAAUUUACAACCAAAACAUUAACAAAACGGUCGUCUUUUUGCAGGAAAAAGAGAUAGCACAGCUCCUGUUGGCGUGUGGCCCACCCUCUGUCCACUGUUUCUCCUGUAAGUUCCCAAUCAUACUCAAGACUCUUUCUUCUCCAUUGCUUCUGGUAUGAAUUCCAAGAAAACUUAUGUGAUAUUCUUUCGAAUUUUAUGAAUUUAUUAGAAGUACAUAUUUCCUAUUCCUGACAUUACUUUGAUUUUUAUAAGAUGUAAUGCUAAAAUUGCAUGGAGAAGUCUACACCGUGCGCAAUUUUCUCGACGAUCACCGUUUUGUGAAAACAGGGUUGUACAGGGGGACAAUCUUUCUGAAGUUCAGCUUGGCCAGGCUCCACCUUUAUUUCUUUUAGUAUGUUGGAUGAUUGUAACUAGAACACUGAUUUGAUGCAAUAAAGCUCCCUUUAACCCAAUAA